ACCUUUUGUAUAGCUUGCCUUCGUAGAGGAUAUAUCGAGAGGCCUGGUUCUUAAGCUUCCGAGCUUCUUUUGUAUCAGGAGGAAGAACCCCAUCCUUGAGGUAUGUAACUAGUGGGUCGACCCAACUGGGUUCGUAGCUGACCUCCAUCACAGACGGUGAUUCUUCCAUGCUUGGGUGCUUCAGAACCUCGAAGAAGACUUCCUUAGGCAGUUCAGCCAGAGCCAGUGUAGCCAACUUGGAGAGAAGGUUGGCUCUGGCAUUUUUCGAUCUCGGGAUCUGCCUGAUGUCGAAGCUGCCGAAGGUAGGGAUGAUCUCCCUUAUCCUUUCAAGAUAUCUAGCCAUACUGUCCUCUCGAGCUUCAUAAUUUCUACUGACCUAUCCCACUACUAAUUGAGAAUCACUGUAGGCUUGAAGCCGAUC
rnacentral:lncRNA from 1 species